ensembl:snRNA U6 U6 spliceosomal RNA
GUGCUCACUUCAGCAGCACAUGUACUAAAAUUGGAACAAUACAGAGAUUAGCAUGGUCCCUGCGUAAGGAUGACACGCAAAUUUGUGAAGGACUCCAUAUUUUC